rnacentral:misc_RNA from 1 species
AAGUCGUAACAAGGUUUCCGUAGGUGAACCUGCGGAAGGAUCAUUAUUGAAUGAACUUGGUGUGGUUGUUGCUGGCCCUUUCGGGGGCAUGUGCACACCCAUCAUUCUCAUCUCUCCACCUGUGCACCUCUUGUAGACUUGGAUUGACUUUCCGAGGCAACUCGGUCGGGAGGACUUGCUGGCAUUAGCUGGCUUUCCUUGCAUUUCCAAGUCUAUGUUUUUUCAUAUACCCCAUUGAAUGUAACAGAAUGUAACAUAUUGGGCCUUUGUGCCUAUAGAAACUUAUACAACUUUCAGCAACGGAUCUCUUGGCUCUC